GUUUGUGAAGGACAACUAGGAGAUAGAAAACAGCAUCGGGGGGCAUAACCAAUGGCAGAUGAAGGGGCAAGUGAUGCUUCAAGUGAUUCAAGCAACACUUUCUUGGAUUUGGCUACUUGUGCUGCUGCUGUGGCAGCAUAUGCGGCCGAAAAUCCUAAUGCAACGGCGAUAGCCAAAUGCAAGCGGCACCUGUGGCCUUCGAAGUGCACGAGGCUACUGGGCGAGAAUGGGUGGAAGCUAGUUUGAGGGACCCAUGGAGAUGCUAUGAGAAUUUCCGUAAGUAUGAACAGCGAGACAUUUCAUAAGCUGCAUAAAAUUCUAGUUGUCAACCAUGGGCUGCAGUCUACUCAAGAGUUCGGGUCCAUAGAGGCUUUAGGAAUGUUUCUAUGGGCAUGCGGGCACAAGCAAUGCAUGCGACAGGUGAAAGAAAGACCUCGUAGGGCAUUGGGAACAGUAAGCCAUAAGUUCGGGGAAGUGCUUUGCGGACGUACUUACCUUUGUUCCACGGAUGCAUAGGCGCUAUAGAUGGAACACACGUACCUGUGUGUGUCUCUCGGAGGUCACAUGAUGAUUACCUCAACAGGAAAGGUUGGCCAAGCCAUAAUGUUUUAGCUGUAGUUGACUUUGACAUGAGGUUCACAUUUAUUGGAGUGGGGAUGGCGGGAGCUGUGCACGACAUGGCGGUGCUAAGGGAGGGGUGGACGGCUCGAACAUUCCCUCACCCACCACCAGGAAGAUAUUAUUUGGUGGACUCAGGGUAUGCCAAAGAGCGUGGGUAUUUGGGACCCCAUCGCCACAACAGGUACUGGAAGGAGUUCAAAUAUAGGGGUCCUGAGCAUUUGCAAGAGUUGUUCAACUACCAUCAUUCGAAACUGCGUAAUGUGGUUGAAAGGACAUUUGGGGUCGCCAAAAAUAAGUGGCAAAUGUUGAAAGGUAUGCCAAACUAUCCUACGGAGAAGCAAUGUGAAAUUAUUGUGUCAUGUUUUGCACUGCAUAACUUUGUACGGGAUGAGAAUGCACGGUCAUCGACAGUCGGUCCGAUGCUGGUACCUCCAAUAAGUCAGUAUUCCAAUAAGUCAGUAUUCCAAUCAGUGGGUUGAGUCAAAUGCGGAAGAUGACAUGGCAACUCUCCGUGAUUGGAUUACUACUGGACUUGGAGUCAUGGGGUUCGGGCUCAGAUGAUCUGCGGUGGAACCUGGAAUGAAGGAGAAGCACAGGACAAUGUUUAUUUUGGUCCCUACGGUUUCAUGAAGUUGGAUGUGCCUGUGUGUUGGCUUAUUUUGGUACGGAGGGGUUCAUGAAGUUUGGAUUUGUGACUGUAGUGCAUAAUGCACAACCACUUGGUAAUUUGGUAAUUGGCUGACCUUCAUUCGGUUAUAUGAAUACAUGAUGAUACAACUGGUGAUUGCUAACUAAUUUGAGGCAAGUGAGCACCUCACUUGGCACCAACAUUUGAAUUCAAACUUGAGACCUGAAAUCAGCAGCACGGCUGCUCGAUGGCUGUAAUGAACUUAAAUUAUGUAUUGUAAUCUCCUGUUGACUGCUUUGGUGAUC